rnacentral:rRNA from 1 species
CUAACACAUGCAAGUCGAACGGUAACAGGAAACAGCUUGCUGUUUCGCUGACAAUCGUGACAGGUGAGUAAUGUCUGGAAACUGCCUGAUGGAGGGGAUAACUACUGGAAACGGUAGCUAAUACCGCAUAACGUCAUAAGAAUAAAGAGGGGACGUACGGGCCUCUUGCCAUCAGAUGUGCCCAGAUGGGAUUAGCUAGUAGGUGGGGUAACGGCUCACCUAGGCGACGAUCCCUAGCUGGUCUGAGAGGAUGACCAGCCACACUGGAACUGAGACACGGUCAGAUCUGGAGGCAGCGGUGAUUUUGGACAAUGGAAACCACGAUUGACCAUCCCGCGUGUGCGAUGAAGGCCUUCGGGUUGUAAAGCACUUUUGGCAGGAAAGCAGCACGGGAUAUUACCCCGUGCAACUGACGGUACCUGCAGAAUAAGCACCGGCUAACUACGUGCCAGCAGCCGCGGUAAUGCCCGUAGGUGCAGCGUUAAUCGGAAUUACUGGGCGUAAAGCGUCCGCUUGAGCGGUUCGGAGAAGAAAGAUGUGAAAUCCCAGAGCAACUUUGGAACGCAUUUUUAACUACCGAGCUAGAGUGGGUCAGGGAGGUGGAAUUCCGCGUGCCAGCAGUUGAGAAUGCGUAGAUAUGCGGAGGAACACCGAUGGCGAAGGCAAUAUCUGGGAUAACGCUGACGCUCAUGCUGCGAAAGCGUGGGGAACAAACAGGUUAGAUACCUGUUCAGUCACGCCUAAACGAUGUCAACUAGCUGUUGGAGAUUAAGUUAACAAGUGAAAGCGCAACUAACAGUCGAGUUGACCAUCAGAAGUGCUGAUUAAGCAAAGAUUAAACUCAAAGGAAUUGGGCGGGGACUGCUGACAGUGGAUGAUGGAUAAUUUCGAUGCAACGCGAAAAACCUUACCUACCCUUGACAUGUCUGGAAUCGAAGAGAUUUGGGAGUGCUCGCAAAGAACCGGAACACAGGUGCUGCAUGGCUGUCGUCAGCUCGUGUCGUGAGAUGUUGGGUUGAGGUCCACUGCAACGAGCGCAGCCCUUAUCAUUAGUUGCUACGAAAGGGCACUCUAAUGAGACUGCGGAUGGCUGCAAACCGGAGGAAGGUGGGGACGACGUCAAGUCCUCAUGGCCCUUAUGGGUAGGGCUUCACCCGUCAUACAAUGGUCGGGACAGGGAUACGCCAACCCGCGAGGGAACUGGUAUCCAGAAAUUGAUCGUGGUCGGAUGUUCAGUCUGCAACUCAAAGGCUGCGUGAAGUCGGAAUCGCUGGUAAUCGCGGAUCAGCAUGUCGCGGUGAAUACGUUCCCGGGUCUUGUACACACCGCCCGUCGGAGUGGGUUUGCAAGAAGUGGUGCAGCCUAACCGUAAGGAGGGCGGGCUACCACGGUAGGAUUCACGACUGGGGUGAAAAUUCGUAACAAAAUUGG